AACCAGCUUCGCCACUCAAGCUGUAAUUCCAUGUCCGGUCUUUCCGGCCUUAGUAUCAUGGAAAUGUGGUCGUGCUCAAAUGAAAUUGAGUUGACAUUGAUCAAUGAAAGUUGCACUGAACUUUGCUAAACUGGCUAGCGCCACCUGGUGUGUGCCGUUGGUCUCCUCACAUGGUAACAUGUGCCAACGGGCCCGAAAGGCUAGUGGGCAAUUACCGCUCCAAGGGAGGGGUACCCACCCCGACCUGAACAGCGGUAAUGAAGCUCACCUCCCAGGCUCUGACCCCGAGAAGUUUAGUUAUUUAGUAGGUGUAAUUAGUACUUGUGAUUGGUCAAUUUGAUAGUAGUUUGAAACGUUAUGGAUGAAUGAGUAGACCCCCUGAAGGUACCCCAUUACAUGGGAUCUGAUCAGGGCCACAUUCUGCGUGUCUCCCCGCACUUGUGGUUAAAACCAUGAAAGUUCAUCCCAAACAAUCUUUUCCUCUUCUUUUUCUUUUAGU
rnacentral:other from 1 species